AGUCUCUCUACUAAUAUUUUUUUCCUUUGGAAUCAUUAUUUCUUCUCUCUCGUAUUCUUCCCUAUCCAUCAUUAAUUUGAGUUACGGAUUCAUCUCCUGCGAUUGUCUCUCUCUGGAGUCAUUCUCUCUUUGCCUUGGAAUUUUGAUUUUAGGUUGAUUUCCUUGGAUUGUGGUUACUGCUGAUGCUUACUGUUGAUGAGGCUCCACAGAAGAGGUAGAUAAGUUUGAAGCCAAUUGCAACUCUUGAAUCUGGCACAGCUAUUUGACAGUGGUCCAAGUUGUAAAUAUUAUUAUGAAGAUAAGUUUCUUAGCAUUUAGUAUUGAAUACUGCAAGUGGUAUUAUUUUAUUUACAGCUGGUGUGCUUAACUCGGCAGUGCGUUUCUUUCUUAAUAAAGGCAAUAUAAAUAUUUGUUAUAAUGCAUAUUUUAUACAAGCUAAAGGACAAAAUCAUAACUUGUUGCCUCCUACAAUAGGCUUGGCUUCAAGAUAAAUUAUAAUAAUGACUGGUUUUUUUUUUUUU